CGCACCCACCACUACUCCAACAAGCUGAAGCCUGUUUUUUUCGCACCGUCAUUGUUGGAUUUGACUUCAAGUAAGGUUGUUACCCAGUCAUCCUUCUCCCGGGUCCAUUCUUCCACAAAGCGCUGUUCCUCCCAUUCACGCUGCUUGGUACUUGUUUGGUGCACAUGGAAACCGAAUCCCAUAAGUCUCUGACAGUUUAACCUCAACGGGGGACCUCCUGAAGCAUUAUAGUCUCCAACGUGGAACAUUUGGUCGUCGGCAUUCCCUAUCACGUCUACAUCACAGUUGCCCUGGCUCUUCGCACACAUCUAUCUAGAUGCCACGGAAAUUAGGAAACUCUGGGGCCAGGAGUAGUCCCUUCUCUUACGUGUCAAGUUUGCAGCACCCAUUAUCCUACAGAGAAGGUGUGAAUUCAACAUGUCAGUCGUCAUCUGAAGAAUCAUGAAACUGUAGUAUGUGUGUGUUUGAUGGAUGUGUGAUUUCAGAACAAAUAUAUAUGGGAACAUUACACACACAAGUUAAUAUUGUGACCAUCCGGCAGAUGCAUAAUACACAAUUGUCCCAAAAAAUUGGCAUAUACAAUGUCUCAGUGAAAUGCAUAGAUGACUUAGUGGAAGAGCUGCCGUUUUAUAUUGUGUUUUUUUAAAGUUUUUAUGGUGCACAAGACACCUGUCUGAUUCAUGCCUGUCUGUGUGGAAUAAUCUAUUGCGGAGACCACGAGGAUGGCACAGUUCAUCACUCCUAAAACAUGUAAAGUGAAAUUAUACAUGGUUAUAUUAUGUAAAAUAAUGGUGCAACACUAAAAACAUUUAAUAUUAUUUUACAACAAAUGCACUUUCUCCCACGCUGGAUAUGGUCGCUGUCCGUGGUUCUGAAGCAUUAUCUUCAGUGCACCGUAGAAUUAGCGCAUUCCCUGUGUUGCUAUGUGCAUAAUAGCAAAAUUAACCAUCCUAUUGGGAUUGAUAACAAUGCGGCGGCAGCAGCAGCAGAGUUUAGGAAGCCCUUGCUUAGCCUAAUUGUCUAAGAAAGUAGGUCUAUAAUCAAUAGCCUAACUGUUAAAUGUGCAUGGGUUUAUAAAUCAUCCAUAUAUAUCUACAUAAAUACGACAGAUCUGGCUUCUGUUGCCUGGUUGAGGGUUUUUUAAUAGCCUACUUAUUCCAUGUGAACCAAGGCUUAUGCAAUGGCAAAAUGUUGGUGAAAGCAAUUUCACAGAUAUGGCUGUUUUUAAUCUUUACUGUGUUUUAAUAAAGGCUUUACAAUUGUUUUCCGUUAGAACAGACUGGUAUUACUUUUAAUUUACAGUGGCAAGAAAAAGUAUGUGAACCUUUUGGAAUUACCUGGAUUUCUGCAUAAAUUGGUCAUCGAA